CUCUCUCUACCUUUCUCUCUCUUUCUGUUUCUCUUUCUCAAACCCCCCUCCCCCAUGGCCUCUGCGGAAGACCCCACCACCGUCUUCGGGGAAGAAGACCUAGACGACGAUGAGGACGAAGACAGCGAAGAGGAGGAGGAGAAUCUAGCCUUGCCCUCCCACCAAGACGACGACGUUUUGGAUGAAGAUGAUGAGGAUGACGAAGACGACGACGUUUUGGACGAGGCCUCCGCUUCACCUUCCACCUCUGGUGAUCCUCAUA
rnacentral:lncRNA from 1 species